UGCCAGACUCCUACGGGAGGCAGCAGUGGGGAAUAUUGCACAAUGGGGGAAACCCUGAUGCAGCGACGCCGCGUGAGUGAGGAAGUAUUUCGGUAUGUAAAGCUCUAUCAGCAGGGAAGAAAAUGACGGUACCUGACUAAGAAGCCCCGGCUAACUACGUGCCAGCAGCCGCGGUAAUACGUAGGGGGCAAGCGUUAUCCGGAUUUACUGGGUGUAAAGGGGGCGCAGACGGCGAUGCAAGCCAGGAGUGAAAGCCCGGGGCCCAACCCCGGGACUGCUCUUGGAACUGCGUGGCUGGAGUGCAGGAGGGGCAGGCGGAAUUCCUGGUGUAGCGGUGAAAUGCGUAGAUAUCAGGAGGAACACCGGUGGCGAAGGCGGCCUGCUGGACUGCAACUGACGUUGAGGCCCGAAAGCGUGGGGAGCAAACAGGAUUAGAUACCCCUGUACAU
rnacentral:rRNA from 1 species